AAAUACUACCGUCGUUCCUCUACUGUACCCACUGCGACUCACCAGUACAUACGAGUAUCUUCAACUCCGGUUUCGUUCAAAAGGCGUACGCCCUUUGGGAACAAUGAUUGGGAUGCUUCAGACGUUGCUGGAAUACCUCUGUGGCUCUCUAUCGUUGUUAUCGGUCUUGUUUGUACCAUAUACACAGCAAUCGUAA